AGCGAACGCUGGCGGCAGGCCUAACACAUGCAAGUCGAACGGACCUUUCGGGGUUAGUGGCGGACGGGUGAGUAACACGUGGGAACGUGCCUUUAGGUUCGGAAUAAGCUCGGGAAACUGGGUCUAAUACCGAAUGUGCCCUUCGGGGAAAGAUUUAUCGCCUUUAGAGCGGCCCGCGUCUGAUUAGCUAGUUGGUGGUGUAAUGGACCACCAAGGCGACGAUCAGUAGCUGGUCUGAGAGGAUGAUCAGCCACACUGGGAUUGAGAUACGGCCCAGACUCCUACGGGAGGCAGCAGUAAGGAAUAUUGGACAAUGGGGGAAACCCUGAUCCAGCAAUGCCGCGUGAAUGAAGAAGGCCUCGGUUGGUAAAGUUACUUUCGCUUACGAUGAUAAUGACAGUAGUAAGAGUAAGAAGGUACCGGCUAACUCUGUG
rnacentral:rRNA from 1 species